CGGAUAGCCAGCCCUAGGCUGGAGCCUGCCUGGGAAUCAAGGUUUUUUCUCUAUCUUCCUUUCCAAUGCAGAGCUGGCCAGCUCUCACCUCCUCAGGUGCUGCCUUUUCUCCUGUGCAGCAAAGAAGAUGAGGCCCAGAAACCUCCAAGCUGCCCCCAAGGCACAAGAGCAGACCUUCAGCUGUUCUCCCAGGGGAGUAGGCUGGAGUACUGUGGCUUGAUUUUGAUCUCAGCUCAUUGCAACCUCCACCUCCUGGGCUCAAGUGAUCCUCCCACCUCCAUCACCUGAAUACUGGAACAACUGGAAUUGCACAGAUAUCUGUCUGUUGGUGCUUGGCUAAUCCGAUUCUGUCUGCAAGAGCUGGUUGGUGUGAUUGGGGGAACUG
rnacentral:lncRNA from 13 species